GACGAACGCUGGCGGCGUGCUUAACACAUGCAAGUCGAACGGUAAGGCUCCAGCUUGCUGGGGUACACGAGUGGCGAACGGGUGAGUAACACGUGGGUGACCUGCCCUGCACUUCGGGAUAAGCCUGGGAAACUGGGUCUAAUACCGGAUAGGACCGCACCGUGAGGGUGUGGUGGAAAGUUUUUUCGGUGUGGGAUGGGCCCGCGGCCUAUCAGCUUGUUGGUGGGGUAAUGGCCUACCAAGGCGGCGACGGGUAGCCGGCCUGAGAGGGUGGACGGCCACAUUGGGACUGAGACACGGCCCAGACUCCUACGGGAGGCAGCAGUGGGGAAUAUUGCACAAUGGGCGGAAGCCUGAUGCAGCGACGCCGCGUGGGGGAUGACGGCCUUCGGGUUGUAAACUCCUUUCACCAUCGACGAAGGGUUUCUGACGGUAGAUGGAGAAGAAGCACCGGCUAACUACGUGCCAGCAGCCGCGGUAAUACGUAGGGUGCGAGCGUUGUCCGGAAUUACUGGGCGUAAAGAGCUCGUAGGUGGUUUGUCGCGUCGUCUGUGAAAUUCCGGGGCUUAACUCCGGGCGUGCAGGCGAUACGGGCAUAACUUGAGUACUGUAGGGGAGACUGGAAUUCCUGGUGUAGCGGUGAAAUGCGCAGAUAUCAGGAGGAACACCGGUGGCGAAGGCGGGUCUCUGGGCAGUAACUGACGCUGAGGAGCGAAAGCAUGGGGAGCGAACAGGAUUAGAUACCCUGGUAGUCCAUGCCGUAAACGGUGGGCGCUAGGUGUGGGUUUCCUUCCACGGGAUCCGUGCCGUAGCUAACGCAUUAAGCGCCCCGCCUGGGGAGUACGGCCGCAAGGCUAAAACUCAAAGGAAUUGACGGGGGCCCGCACAAGCGGCGGAGCAUGUGGAUUAAUUCGAUGCAACGCGAAGAACCUUACCUGGGCUCGACAUAUACAGGAUCGCGCCAGAGAUGGUGUUUCCCUUGUGGCUUGUAUACAGGUGGUGCAUGGUUGUCGUCAGCUCGUGUCGUGAGAUGUUGGGUUAAGUCCCGCAACGAGCGCAACCCUUGUCUUAUGUUGCCAGCACGUUGUGGUGGGGACUCGUAAGAAACUGCCGGGGUUAACUCGGAGGAAGGUGGGGAUGACGUCAAAUCAUCAUGCCCCUUAUGUCCAGGGCUUCACACAUGCUACAAUGGUCGGUACAGUGGGUUGCCAGUCCGUGAGGGCGAGCUAAUCCCGCAAAGCCGGUCUCAGUUCGGAUCGGGGUCUGCAACUCGACCCCGUGAAGUCGGAGUCGCUAGUAAUCGCAGAUCAGCAACGCUGCGGUGAAUACGUUCCCGGGCCU
rnacentral:rRNA from 1 species